GGUGACGCAGGCACCAAAAUUAAAUAUAGCAGAUCUCGUCACCUCCGCUCUGAGCAUCACAGUGGACCAGUGUGUGGGGGCUGCACAGCUCUUCCUGAAGGCCACAUGGGGAAGCAGCCUGGCUACUGGCUAUCUGGACCUGUAGACACCCUUCCCUUCCUCCAGGGCUUCUAGACACUGCACUGGGCCUCCCUCCCACAUCUUGCCUGGUCCCCACAAUGCCAGCCCCAGCUCUUAGCCUGUGAAGAGCUGGAAGGGGCUUCUUCC
rnacentral:lncRNA from 1 species